rnacentral:lncRNA from 1 species
UUUGUUUUACGCCCCGUAACUCUUCCUCAGCCAGGCUUGGGCAGAAUAGCAGAGCAAGUAUUAGUAGCAUAACAAAAAAGCCUUCCUCGUCAUUAAUAUCUUUGCUCGCGGCAAUUGUGACCUCUCGGGAGAAUCGAUGACUGCAUCUUUGAUGCAGUGCUAGUACAUCUGAGACUUCUUAAUUGGCUAGUUGUAAAUAGCCCCN